rfam:Danio rerio chromosome 4, GRCz11 reference primary assembly.
GGUGCUGUGGCUUAGCUGGUCGAAGCGCCUCUCUUGUAAACAGGAGAUCCUGGGCUCAAAUCCUAUCAGCGCCU